UACGGAGGGUGCGAGCGUUGUCCGGAAUCAUUGGGCGUAAAGGGCGCGUAGGUGGCCCGGUCAGUCAGUGGUGAAAGCGCGGGGCUCAACUCCGCGUCGGCCAUUGAUACUGCUGGGCUUGAGCACUGUAGAGGCAGGCGGAAUUCCGGGUGUAGCGGUGGAAUGCGUAGAGAUCCGGAAGAACACCGGUGGCGAAGGUGGCCUGCUGGGCAGUAGCUGACACUGAGGCGCGACAGCGUGGGGAGCAAACAGG
rnacentral:rRNA from 1 species